CGAGAGAACGAUCUGCGCCGAGUGAGGAGAUCGAGCGAGUGACCGCGAGAGAUCGAGCCAAGGUACUGCGAGAGAUCGAGCCAAGCGAUUGUGCGAGAACGAUCUGCACUGAGUGACCACGAGAGAUCGAGUCGAGCGACCGCGAGAAAACGAUCUACGCCGAGUGACGACAGAACGGUCGAGUGACGAUAAAACGAUCAAGUGAUGACAGAACGGUCGAGUGACGACAGAACGGUCGAGUGACGACAGAACGGUCGAGUGACGACAGAACGAUCUGCGCCGAGUGAGGAGAGAGAGCGAGUGACCGCCAGGGAUCGAGCCAAGCGACUGCGCUAGAACGAUCUGCACCAACCGUGGGGCAUGGGGAUGUAACUUCGAAGAAGAUUAAACUGGAGUCUGUUCUGUUGUCGUACGAUCGUUUUGUCGUCACUCGACUGUUCUGUCGUCACUCGGCGCAGAUCGUUCUCUCGCAGUCGCUCGACUCGAUCUCUCGUGGUCACUCGGCGCAGAUCAUUUUCGUGCAGUCGCUUGGCUCGAUCUCUCGCGGUCACUCGCUCGCUCUCCUCACUAGGCGCAGAUCGUUCUGUCGUCACUCGACCGUUCUGUCGUCACUCGACCGUUCUGUCAUCACU
rnacentral:lncRNA from 1 species